CCCCUGUUGCUCCCUCCCCGACGAGGAGCUCCUACCUCCCCGACGGCCGGCCUCCUCCUCGCCCCGCCGCUGCGUCCGGCGCCGCCACGGCCUCUGGAGCACGGCGCCGAUGAGGAACCCACCCACGGUGUGCGAGGGGUCUCUUCCCGUACGUCAAGGCAUCCCGCCUCACGUUUCCUCUUUUGGCAUCACGGGCCGCCGCCGCACUCCCUCCCCCGGCCGCCCCGCGGGCUUCUAUCUCUCCCAGCUCCGCUGCCGCGCCCCGUCUUCCAUCUCUACAUGAAUCGCUGUUGUGGAAGCCAUGCCCCACCGCGCCACCCGGCGGCCAUCCGGGCACGCCGUGUCCGGGAUGAUGGAGUUGAGUCGGCCAGGUCCCUGUUCCCGUUGGCAUCGGGACCCGUGGGGGCAAGCCGCGCGCUGCUCAUCUGCGUCGAUGGCGUCGGCGCGGCCUUCCCCUGUCAAGACCGGCGGCUCCUUGGCUGGAUCCUCUCCUCUCCUCUCUUCCACCUCUCGUCGUCGGGUGCUCCUUCCGUCGAUGUCGAGGUCUUAGUCUCGGUGAUUUCUCCUUGUAUGUUCUGUUGAUAUUGGUACCGUGUUCUGAACCUUGCUGCUUUGGAGGGUUUCAGUUUUGAUGGUUCUGUUCAAUUCAAGGUGAUUCGGUAAUGUUCUGCGUACAAAGUGCUUCCUAUUUUUGCGGUGAAAAACAGCGUGUUGGAGAUAGUUCAGACAGUCAAAAUUUGGCAGUAUUUUCUUCUUCUUUUGAUCCCGUUUCUUCAUAGUUAGUCAGACUCAAUAAGAAUUAGAGCAAGUUGGAAAGAGGUUUGUUAGGUCGGAACUGAUAUAUUUGCUUUCUCCUAGCAGCCUAUACAUAUCAUUUUAUAUGACGGGGAUUGUGCUAUAUUACCAUGUUAUAAAGGUAGAGCUAGGAUAUGUCUUUCUUGAACUGUGUGGACAUGCUCAUGGCGGAGGUGCUCUGUUUGUAUGUUUUUUCAAGUAAAGUGGAGAAACUCCUGAAUUGUGUCUUCAGAAAUAGUUUACUGUUGCUGUGUCUUCAGAUGCUGGUUACUGUGUUGGAAUCUACCAAUCCUUCUGAUCAUUGUGUUUUUCUGGGCCUGGAGGUCUACGCCAAACCCCAGGGCAGGGUGGUUCGAACACCAGUGCAGUACGGGCUGGGACGGACAUCAUCUUGUCUCUGUCUCUACUAAUUCAAAUUACAUGUAACUUAUUCCCUCAAAAAAAUUACAUGUAAUUUAUUCAGUUCUACAGCAGCCAAGGGCGGGGCAUCGCACCGAUGACAGUGACUGCAAUGAGGGUGAGAUGCCGAUGUUUGUGCCGGCGCCGGAGACCGUGACCACAACUCGGGGCAAGGUGCUGGUGUCAGCGACGUCGCCCGUGUUGGCCCCUUGAGUUUUGGACCUGCCGCGCUCUGGUUCUGGAAGCUGCCAUUCCCAUCGAGCCCCUCCAGCAGCCUUCAGGAUGGAGAGGAGAAGACUGAAAAGGAUGUUGAUAUGAGGAAUUCAAGGAAGUGGAAGAGGAAGAAAGUUCUGAUGAUGGG